GACGUAGGGCGCGAGCGUUGUCCGGAUUUAUUGGGCGUAAAGAGCGUGUAGGCGGCUUUGCAAGUCCGUUGUGAAAACUCGAGGCUCAACCUCGAGACGCCGGUGGAAACUGCAAAGCUAGAGUCCGGAAGAGGAGAGUGGAAUUCCUGGUGUAGCGGUGAAAUGCGCAGAUAUCAGGAAGAACACCCGUGGCGAAGGCGGCUCUCUGGGACGGUACUGACGCUGAGACGCGAAAGCGUGGGGAGCGAACAGG
rnacentral:rRNA from 1 species